rnacentral:rRNA from 1 species
CCCCUAGAUGUUCUGGGCCGCACGCGCGCUACACUGAACAGUUCAACAAGUCUUAACCUUGGCCGAUAGGUCUGGGUAAUCUUUGAACGCUGUUCGUGAUUGGGAUAGACCUUUGCAAUUAUGGGUCUUCAACGAGGAAUUCCUAGUAAACGCAAGUCAUCAGCUUGCAUUGAUUACGUCCCUGCCCUUUGUACACACCGCCCGUCGCACCUACCGAUUGAAUGGUCCGGUGAAAUCUCGGGACGGCGGCUUGGUCGCUUGCGUCCGACUGCUGAAACUUGAUUAAACUAUAUCAUUUAGAGGAAGGUGAAGUCGUANCA